AUCAACUUUCGAUGGUAGGAUAGAGGCCUACCAUGGUGGUAACGGGUAACGGGGUGUUAGGGCACGACACCGGAGAGGGAGCCUGAGAAACGGCUACCACAUCCAAGGAUGGCAGCAGGCGCGCAAAUUACCCAAUCCCGACACGGGGAGGUAGUGACAAUAAAUAACAAUACGGGGUUCUUUCGGAUUUCGUAAUUGGAAUGAGUACAAUUUAAAUCUCUUAACGAGGAACAAUUGGAGGGCAAGUCUGGUGCCAGCAGCCGCGGUAAUUCCAGCUCCAAUAGCGUAUAUUAAAGUUGUUGCAGUUAAAAAGCUCGUAGUUGAAUUUCGGGAUUAAUAUGUCGGUCGUGCUUCGGUACGUACUGGCGUUAUUGAUUUCUCCCUUCUGAAGAACCGCGAUGUCAUUAAUUUGGUGUCGUGGGGAAUCAGGACUGUUACUUUGAAAAAAUUAGAGUGUUUAAAGCAGGCUCGCGCUUGAAUACAUUAGCAUGGAAUAAUGAAAUAGGACGUUUGAUUCUAUUUUGUUGGUUUCUAGGAUCGACGUAAUGAUUAAUAGGGAUAGUUGGGGGCAUUAGUAUUCAAUUGUCAGAGGUGGAAUUCUUGGAUUUAUUGAAGACUAACUACUGCGAAAAGCAUUUGCCAAGGAUGUUUUCAUUAAUCAAGAACGAAAGUUAGGGGAUCGAAGACGAUCAGAUACCGUCGUAGUCUUAACCAUAAACUAUGCCGACUAGGGAUCGGAUGAUGUUAAUUUUUUAAUGACUCAUUCGGCGCCUUACGGGAACCAAGUGUUUGGGUUC
rnacentral:rRNA from 1 species